ACCCUCGGCAAUGGAUAUCUUGGCAAUGCCAUCAAUGCAUAAAAUAGAAAAAUUUGAUACUUGUUGUGAAUUUUUGAAUUCUAUGAACUAUUGAUUCUUUGAAUCUAAGUUACACCCAAAGCCUUUAGGUCGAGAGCACAUCUGCCUGGGUGUCACACAUCAUUUCUCCUCCAUCAUAUCGCACCAUAAUCAAAGGAUGCACUGUCAUUACGAGAUAGAUACUAGCCUCCCGUAUGUGUCAAGCUCACGGCUUUCCAAAAUAUGUGUUCACAUUAACGGACAUUAUGGCAAGUUGUAGUUGUAAAUCAACUAUCUUUUUUAUUGUGACUAUAGCCCGUCGUGUGUCCAGACUCCCAGACCCUAUCGCUAUUAGAAUCUUGGACUAUGAACCUAAGUCAGGUGAUAUUACCCGCUGAGUUUAAGAAUAUCAAUAACCAGAUGAAAAGAAUCUUCCAAGGAUUCCCUUAGUAACUAUUAGCGAAUAAUGAAGAGCCCAUCCAUAAAAUAGGGUGGCUUUGUCUUCCGAAUUAUAGUUUGGAAGUGUCCUCAAUGGCAAACGUGGUACAAGUCGCUUGGAAGGGGGCACCAGAGAGGGUGAGACCCCAUCUUUCCCAGACCCUGUCAGACCAUGAAGUGCUAUUAAUAAGUCAGAUUAUUUAGGAACGCAACCCAAACCAGGCGAUAAAUUUCAUCUGAGGCUAAAUAUGAGCGAGAGACCAAUAGCAAACAAGUACCGUGAGGAAAACAUGAAAAGGACUUUGAAAAAAGAGUAAAAGAGAGCUUGAAAUUAUUAGGAGGGAAGAAGAUGGGGGGCGGUGAUGUGCCCAGAUCGAAUGUUGAAAGGCGAUUAGCUGGUCUGCCAAAUGACUCAGAGCUUGGGCCACCAUGGAUUGGGGGUGUGGCUAAAUCCUAGGAUCUUGAUACACAUAUAAUAUGUAGUCUCCUAAAUUUUAGCUGGUAGUGCAUACCUCUAGAUUGCUACUGCAUCUGCGUGCUCUGGACACUGGCCUGUAGACUCUCCAUUGGACCUGUCUUAAUACACGAACAAAGGUAUGUUACAUUUGUGCGAGUCAACGAGUAAGUAAAUUUGUUAGGCAUAAGGAAAAUGAAUGAUGGGAUCCCCCUUAGGGGUUCCCUGCCGACUGGCCUUGAUCUUUUAAGAAGGGUUUGAAUGUGAUUAUACUUUUCAAGACCCAAAAGAUGGUGAACUAUGCCUUAGUGGUGUGAAGCUAGAGAAAACUUGGUGGAAGCCCAUAGCAAUACUGACAUACGUCUUACUUUGGUAUAGGGGUGAAAUACUAAUAAAACCAUCUAUAUGUUGGUUCCCUCUGAAGUUUCUCUCAGGAUAGCAUGAGCUCGCAUUUGAGUAAUAUCGGGUAAAGCCAAUGUUUAGAUAUCUCAGGAGCACAACACCAUUAACUAAUUCUCAAAAUUUUAAUAGGUAGGAUGGUGUAGGUACUUUGUUUAGAUACGCCAUGGAAUCAAGAGCUCCAAGUGUGCCAUCUUUGGUAAAAAUAACUGGUGAUGCGAGAUGAACUGGAAACUAUGAUACAGUGACAAAUAGUUUGCUAACCUAGAUCCUAUAAAUGGCGUUUGUUAAUUAAGACAACCAAAAGGUUGUAAUGGAUGUCAAAAUCCACUAAAGAAUAUGUAACAAUCAUCUGUUGCAUUAACUAGCCCUAAAAAUAGAUGGCACUUAAUUGCGUGACCUACGCCCGACCAUCGAAGUAAGUGUAAGGCCCUGAUGAGUAGGAGGGCUAGACGGGCGCUCCAAAACCUUAGGCCUGAGCCUGGGAAAAGUUAUUGUUGGUGCAGUUCUUGUUGAUAGUAGCAAAUGUUGUAAUGAGAACAUUGAUAGCCAAAAAAGGGAAAGGUUCCAUGUAAAUGGCACUUCUACAUGGGUUAGUCGAUCCUAAUGGUUGGAGGAACCUAGACAGAUAGAGCGUUUCAUGCUUACACUGAAAGGGAAUUAUAUUAAAAUUACUGAACUAGGAUAUGGUUGUUGAUAACAAUGUUAGGAAGUCCAGAUAUGCCAAUAGGAUCAUCGAGAAGAGUUAUCUUUUCUGUUUAACAUUCUAGCCACUUUGGAAUCAGCUCAAUCGAAGGUAGGGUAAAGCAGCUGAAAAAGUACCUUACAUCGCGUGGUGUUCGGUGCCCUAUCGAAGUCCCUUGAAAAUCAAGAGAACUUAAUUCUGUCAAUGCAUAGUAUUAUUAAUAACCACAUCAGGUCUCCAAAGUGAACAACCUCUGGUCGAUAGUACAAUAUAGGCAAGAAAGUCAGCAAAAUGGAUGAUGUUGGGCGUAUUUACACGCAUAAACACCAUAAUUUACCCAUGUUAUAGCUAAGUUUUGAGGAUGAAAUAUAUAAUUCCUGCACUUUUAGUCCAUUUUCCUGUAAGUGAGCUAACCUAUGUGAUUAGCAUGUUUUCAGGUAUUAAUGAUCCCCCCUUUUUACAAAACUUUCACCAAAAGUCUAAUAAUCUUUGCUUACUCAGUGACCAAGUAUUCCCUGUGGGAUUCGAAACCCAACCCAGUUGGGUUCUAUAUUUGACAACGACCGCUUACACUCUUACGAGAGUUAUAGUUUGAGCGUUAUCUAAAAUUGGCGUCGUUGCUGGGGAAUAUCAUUGUCAACUAAGUUUGUGAUAAUUACUAGACCCUUCGGUCAAAACUUCUCGUACUUUACUUUUAGUUUUUGUUUUUGUUUCUGCAGGUUUUUAUUUAGUGCAUGCCCCAUACUCGAAGUUCUGGUCAACCGUUAUUACCUAUCAAUCCUGAACCAUAACAUAUUGGCAGAAUGGAGACACAACAGGAAAUUGAAUGAAGGGUUUCUCAACAGGAACAGGCUAGAUUAGCUGCUUUGGCUGCCACCCAAGUACAACAACAGAAUAUUGAUAACCCUAGGCAAGAAACAAAUCCUGACUAUGAGGACCUCGGUGAUGACGAGUUAUUAAACCCUAGGCGUGAUGCUGAGAUGGUGACACCUGCAAACAAAAGAGAUCGUCAAGCAAGGUUCAAGCCUGAACGUCAAGCCGUGCAAAUACCAUUCAAUGAUGAUGAUGAUGAUCUUGAUGGAGCCGGUGCCACAGGAGCCAUUAUUCCUCUGCCAUUGGAUCCCGGAUCCAAGUUCAACAUCACAAGCACCAUGAUUCAGUUAUUGCAACUUAAGGAAUUAUUUGGUGGACUAGUAGGCGAUGAUUCGAAUAUGCAUCUGAUCAACUUUAUUUCCACAUGCAAGUCAUUCGACAAUCCUGGCAUUGGACAGAAUGCAAUUCGGCUAUGCUUAUUUCCAUUGCCUCUUUCU
rnacentral:rRNA from 1 species